AGCGAACGCUGGCGGCGUGCCUAACACAUGCAAGUCGAACGUGAAAAGGGAAACCUGAGUAAAGUGGCGUACGGGUGAGUAACGCGUAGGUAAUCUACCCCAGAAUCUGGAAUAACCUGCCGAAAGGCGGGCUAAUACUGGAUAGAGCGAGGGAACUCGUAAGAGAGUUUUUCGGGAAAGGGAGCCCGCAAGGGCCUUCGUUCUGGGAUGAGCCUGCGUCUCAUUAGCUAGUUGGUAAGGUAACGGCUUACCAAGGCGAUGAUGAGUAGCUGGUCUGAGAGGAGGAUCAGCCACACUGGAACUGAAACACGGUCCAGACGCCUACGGGAGGCAGCAGUGGGGAAUCUUGCGCGAUGGACGAAAGUCUGACGCUGCCACGCCGCGUGAGUGAAGAAGGCCUUCGGGUUGUAAAGCUCUGUCGGAUGGGACGAACAUCUUCAUAGUGAAUAGCUAUGAGGACUGACGGUACCAUCAAAGGAAGCACCGGCUAACUCCGUG
rnacentral:rRNA from 1 species